rnacentral:rRNA from 1 species
AGCGAACGCUGGCGGCAGGCCUAACACAUGCAAGUCGAACGAACCUUUCGGGGUUAGUGGCGGACGGGUGAGUAACACGUGGGAACGUGCCUUUAGGUUCGGAAUAACUCAGGGAAACUUGUGCUAAUACCGAAUGUGCCCUUCGGGGGAAAGAUUUAUCGCCUUUAGAGCGGCCCGCGUCUGAUUAGCUAGUUGGUUGAGGUAAUGGCUCACCAAGGCGACGAUCAGUAGCUGGUCUGAGAGGAUGAUCAGCCACAUUGGGACUGAGACACGGCCCAAACUCCUACGGGAGGCAGCAGAGGGGAAUCUUGCGCAAUGGGCGAGAGCCUGACGCAGCCAGGCCGCGUGAAUGAUGAAGGUCUUAGGAUUGUAAAAUUCUUUCACCGGGGACGAUAAUGACGGUACCCGGAGAAGAAGCCCCGGCUAACUUCGUG